CCGAGCUUGAGCUAGGCCUAAAGCUUCGCUCCUGUCUCUUCCCCUUACCUUAUCCUUGCUCCCGGUUGAAGUUCGGAAACAAAUAAAAAGCUCUCCGCUUCUCCAUGAAAGCGGAGAGCAAUGGCGACGGGUUGGAAGACCGGCGGCGGCGCCGUCCAUCCUUCCGCAUUGGGGGAAGACGAUACAGACGACAGUCAAACAGUCGCGGUGUUCCGUUUCUUCUUCUCUUACGUUGCUGCGGAGUGGAUCGAACGCUCUCUUGUGUUCGCUAGUUAUCGUUGCCUUCAUUGUACUUCUGUCAGCUGCCCGAACAAAACAGAGAGAUGAUAUAAUUUUAUUCGUGUCUUCAUAUGCUCGUAAAGGAAACCAUUUCAGGGAUAUAACCAGUGGAGAACAAGGUUUGUAGAGACCCAAUCAGGUUGUUAACCAUACUCGAGCUAGGUAGGUAAUGGACCUAAAAUUCUUCGGCUAGCACGGGAAGUUUUGGUUUUGGAGACAGGAAUUAUCAUAUCCAAUGGAAAACAAAGAUCUCCAAGUCGAGCUUUCAACAAAGCAAGGGUUCCCUGAAGAACUUCCGUAUAUUCUAACGUGUGAUGCAUCCAAAACAAUUGCUGGUUUUGAAAGUGUUGAGUGCACUGGAACUCAGUCGGUUACCCUUCCCUAUCCUCAAGAAGAUGCAGCUGUUGAAAAAGUAGGUUAUUUUCUUUCAGCGAGCAGUCGCAUAAGUCUCCAUAUUCUUCUAAUUGUUCUCUCCCAUGUUUUCUGUCGAAAUUUCUAUGACAUCUCAAUGAAUUCUUUCUGACAAUUUGCUAAGUCGCUAAUACUUAAUAUCGAUCGACAUUGUUAGUUGCACAUGUCUUCACGACUUCACAUCACCAAAAUAACUUUCUGAUGCUAAGCUUGACACUGUCUCUCUGUACUGUUAUUCUGUUUCUACCCAAAGGUAUAUCCCAAAGUUGGUGUUUGCUUUUAUGCCUAUUUAAUUGUAAUUGUACGAGCUCAUGCUUGUGCAAAUCCAUAGUUAUAAAAUAUGAACUCCAGCCUAUUUAUAAUAGUUUGUGCUUGUGUUUUUUAACUUGUCAUUUGUUUUGGAGAAGAGGAUGGAGAGAAGGAACCGGGUUAGUUCCUCUCCCCAACUUUUUACUAAUUAUCAAGUUUAUGUUUUGGCCCAUCAAACUCACAGUGGCUUCAAUUCAGGGAUCGGAAACUCCUAAAAUACCUAAUCAGGCCAACGCGAUCAAAUUACCUCCGCUGCAUUUGCCAGCUCAAGCAAAUCAGUGCCAUCAGUCAAAUUCGAUCUCUAUCAGCUUGCCUGCUUCUGCUCCUGGAAUAAGUAUUGGAGAAGCUAUAAAACUUUUAUUUGGGGAUAAUGCUGGAUCGGCUGCCAUUGAUGAACAACCAAAUCAACCUUCAGACUCUACAACUAGCAACUCAGGACCAGCAAAACUGGGGAUGUUCCAUUCUAAGUCCAUACCAGCGGGAAGUUCAUAUGGCAAGACAGCUGCAGUGGGAAAAUUUAACGGUCCAUUCGAGGAUCAGCAAAGGUUGCCAAGAAGCUAUAGUUCGAGGGACAAACGCUUUGAUUCUUUCAAAACAUGGUCUGGAAGACUGGAAAGGCAGUUAUCCAACUUACGUGGAAAGCCGCAGGAACCAGAUGUGGAGGCUAAUGAGUCAGAUAUUAUGGAAAUCGAGGCUGUGCCAGCAGUAGAACGCUACUUCGAUGCCUUAGAAGGGCCUGAAUUAGACACUUUAAGGGCAUCAGAGGUAUCAGUUCUUCCUGAGGACCAGAAGUGGCCUUUUCUUCUUCGCUUCCCAAUAUCUGCCUUUGGUAUGUGCCUUGGUGUAAGCAGCCAAGCUAUCCUCUGGAAGACCUUAGCUACAUCUCCAUCCAUGAGUUUUCUACAUGUGAACUUGACAGUGAAUCUCGUGCUUUGGUGUAUAUCACUUGCAGUGAUAGGCACUGUAUCCCUCAUUUACUCUCUGAAAAUCAUCUUUUACUUUGAAGCGGUUCGACGAGAGUACUACCAUCCGGUCCGUAUCAACUUCUUCUUUGCUCCCUGGAUAGCGGGCCUUUUCUUGGCACUUGGUGUGCCACCAUCAGUUGCAGUAAACCUUCAUGCUGCUCUCUGGUAUGUCCUUAUGGCUCCAAUAUUUUGCCUUGAGCUCAAAAUUUAUGGCCAAUGGAUGUCCGGGGGCCAAAGAAGGCUCUCAAAGGUGGCAAAUCCAUCAAACCAUUUAUCGAUCGUGGGCAACUUUGUGGGCGCAUUGCUUGGCGCAUCUAUGGGACUUAAAGAAGGACCUAUCUUCUUCUUUGCUGUUGGAUUGGCUCACUAUACAGUACUGUUUGUAACUCUGUACCAGAGGCUUCCUACUACUGAAACCCUCCCAAGGGAGCUUCACCCAGUUUUUUUCUUAUUUGUAGCAGCACCCAGUGUUGCUUGCGUGGCAUGGGCAAAGAUUCGUGGUGACUUUGAUUACGGACCAAGGAUAGCUUACUUUAUUGCCAUGUUCCUCUAUGCCUCUCUGGCGGUGCGAAUUAACUUUUUCCGAGGUUUCAGGUUUUCACUGGCAUGGUGGGCAUACACUUUUCCAAUGACUAGCGCUUCAGUUGCUACCAUUAGUUACUCAGUCGCAGUGACAAAUAUAUUAACUCGGUCAUUUUCUGUUGGACUCUCCGCAAUCGCUACCUUCACAGUAACAGCUCUGCUCGUAUCCACCAUUAUCCAUGCUUUCAUCCUCCAUGACCUCUUCCCAAAUGACGUCUCUAUUGCUAUCACACAGAAAAGACUAAAGUUCAGUAAGAAGCUCGCACAUCUGAGAUCAGCAAACUCAGACAUGAAAGAAACAGAAGGCUCUCUUCCAAAAAACAGUCCAGAGCUCGAGCUUUGAAUUUUUUGGCCUAUUUACCCUUUUGGUGCACUAUGUUACAGUCAAAUCUUCAUCUGCGGCGAGUGAACUACGGAUCCCAAGAACAUUGUCUGCUAUUUUGUUAGCUUCACCACAGCGUAGAUAAUUUAGAGAUGAAGACAGUAUCAUAAGCAUUCUGUACGGAAUAGAAUUUGUUAAUAGAAGAUAUGCAUGCUGUUCAUUGGUUCAAAUAAGUCUUGCAAUCAGCAGCAUUCAUUGUAUGAGUUUAAAAAUUAGUCAAUCUACAAGUCUAUUGGAAAACUGUAUGAAUUACUUUUCCUACCAUAUUGGUUGGUGGGAGUUCAGUUGUUUGCUAUUGAAGAGUUUAACCAUCAGACACAAUUUUCCAUCAACAAAAAAAUUACCAUCAAACUUCAUUCAGGCUGGGUUGGUUAAGUACAUGAUAUAUCAUCAACAAAAUUACACGUUUUUAUUCUUUAUUUCUUCUUUAGUUUAAUUUCUCAAUAUUUCCAGUUCAUUCCAGAGGAGUUAAUUCAUCCAAAAAAAGGCUCAUAUUGUCUUUGCAUCAUGAAUCUAAUGGUGCAAUCUUAAGUUUGUUUGAUGCCUUCAUGAAUGGUUUCAGUAGACAUGAGAGGAAAUCUAACAACGUCAAUUAUCGUGUAGGUAGCAUGCUGUUUGACGUGGCUAACAGGUAUGCUUGGACAUUGCAACAAGGCACCUGGUAGGCUGCAGGUUCGGGUUGUAUAUUUCGCACAAAAGAGUAAUUGAUCUUCUUUCGCGACGUCGUCCGUCUCAUCGCAACCCACACAGCUCUUGAAGCGACGUUUGUGCGAUCCAUUGGCAGAUUCGUGCAAAGGUGUGAUGCUGAGGUCUGAAUUCCCAACAGGAAGAGCAAAACAUGGGCUCUCAGUUCUGCAACACAAGGAAGCCACUCAUUCUCAAUGGUAA